rnacentral:rRNA from 1 species
GACGAACGCUGGCGGCGUGCUUAACACAUGCAAGUCGAACGGAAAGGCCCUGCUUUUGUGGGGUGCUCGAGUGGCGAACGGGUGAGUAACACGUGAGUAACCUGCCCUUGACUUUGGGAUAACUUCAGGAAACUGGGGCUAAUACCGGAUAGGAGCUCCUGCUGCAUGGGGGGGGUUGGAAAGUUUCGGCGGUGGGGGAUGGACUCGCGGCUUAUCAGCUUGUUGGGGGGGUAGUGGCUUACCAGGCCUUUGACGGGUAGCCGGCCUGGGAGGGUGACCGGCCACAUUGGGACUGAGAUACGGCCCAGACUCCUACGGGAGGCAGCAGUGGGGAAUAUUGCACAAUGGGCGGAAGCCUGAUGCAGCAACGCCGCGUGCGGGAUGACGGCCUUCGGGUUGUAAACCGCUUUCGCCUGUGACGAAGCGUGAGUGACGGUAAUGGGUAAAGAAGCACCGGCUAACUACGUG